GCUCGGUGUCUGAGACAGCCUGGUCUCCCAGAACCCGUCCAUUGUCCCAGGUCAGCAGCAGCCCCACCAGCAGCAGGAGAGUCUUCAUCAUGCCUCCUUCUCCAAUUCUGGAAUCCCAGCAGGCCUCUGUUUGUAGAGAACAGGAGACUGUCAUGGUAACAGCUAGAUGGCCUGCUGGUUUCCGGCCGGGCCUGCAGCCUACAGCAGCUUCCCCGGAGCCCUGCGGAGGCCCUGCCCUCAGCCGGCCCCUCAGCUGGCAUUAUCGUGUUUUUGUCCCCAGGGAAACUGGGAGAAAAGACCAGACUUGCCAUUGGACACCUUCAAAAGAAAGUGGCGGCAGGGAGGUACAGAGAGGAACCACAGGAGAAGCAGCCUAAUACAGAAGAAAUGAGAACUCUGAUCCAGAAAUUCUGGAACACCAAGCCUUCAGUUCCAGCCCCGAUUCCGACACCUACAUGCUGUUUAUCUUAGGAGAGGAUCCUAAACCUGUCCAGGCCUCAGAUUAUCAUCUAUAAAAUGAGACGGCCAUGACAAUCUCCAAUCCACAAUCUUCCAAUCUCUCUUUCCAUUCUUCGUCAUCAACCUUGGAGGCUACUUACCAAAGAUGGCAGCAUUGCAGGAUGGAAGAAGCCUGGAUCCUCCAGCCAACAUUUGUAAGAGAGUCACUUGACCUGCAAUGGAUUGUGAUAUAAAUGAGAAAUAAACU